UGAGGGAGGAACCAUCAUGCGAAGCAUGAUUUUAAAUGGUUCCGACCGACUUGCCGCCGAAGCUUUAGCUGAGGGGGCGAUACAUAUU
rnacentral:sRNA from 12 species